rnacentral:rRNA from 1 species
AUGGAUAUGUAUGGUAAAUGUGGCCUUGUUACUUUGUCCGUUCAGUUAUUUAAUGAGGUUGAACACCAUACUGAUAUUGCUUGGAAUGCGGUAAUCAAUGUAUUUGCACAACAUGGUCAUGGUAGGGAAGCUAUCCAAGCUUUCGAUAGGAUGACCUCAAGUGGUAUCAGGCCAAAUCACAUUACAUUUGUCAGCCUGCUUACAGCAUGCAGUCAUGCUGGGUUAGUGGAUGAUGGACUGAAAUAUUUUAACACCAUGAAGAAUGCCCAUGGUAUUGAGGCUAAGGAUGAGCACUAUUCAUGUAUCAUUGAUAUGUAUGGUCGAGCUGGGAGACUAGCUGAAGCAGAGAAAUUUAUACACGAGAUGCCUAUCAAACCCAGUGUCUAUGGUUGGUGCUCCUUGCUUGGAGCUUGCCGGAUGCGAGGAAACAAGGAGCUGGGUGAGUUUGCGGCACAAAACAUAAUGGAGCUUGAGCCAGAUAACAGUGGUGUUCACGUAUCCCUUUCUGGGAUCUAUGCAUCACUAGGCCAAUGGGAGGAUGUGAAGGCAAUCAGGAAGCUGAUGAGGGAUAGCAGGAUUAAGAAGCUUCCUGGUUUUAGCUGGGUCGAUGCUAAUAACAAAACUCAUGUUUUUUCAUCCGAAGAUUGGUCACAUCCACAGCAGAAGAAGAUAUAUCAAAAACUUGAGGAACUCUAUGAGAGGAUAAAGGAGGAAGGUUACGUCCCAGACACACGUUCCUUACCAUCUAAUUUGGAAGAUACUGCAAAGGAGAGGAUUCUGCGUUAUCACAGUGAGCGGAUUGCCGUAGCUUUUGCUUUGAUAAGCAUGCCUGCUACAAAACCAAUCAUUGUGAAGAAGAAUUUGCGUAUCUGUGUAGACUGUCAUUCUGCACUGAAGUUCAUUUCUAAGGUUGAAAGCAGGGAUAUUAUUGUUAGAGAUAACUCCAGGUUCCACCAUUUUGCGGAAGGGAGGUGUUCCUGUGAAGAUUACUGGAAACCCAAAGGAGCACAGGCCCCGAAUUUCGUUUUCAUGAGUGGAACUGACAACACAACAUUCUAA